AUGGCGAUUCUUGCUUCACGACACAUACCCGUCUCACCACAGUGCCCUAUUUGUCGGUCGGGUCCGGAGAAUAUUCGGCCCUUGUUAUUUACAUGCACUCGUGCAUGGAAGGUUUGGUCUGCGCUCGGGCUCCUGGAUAUCAUUGAUGAUGCACUAAUUGCAGACAUGUCAGGAUCAGUAGUACUUGAGCAUAUUAUUUGCAACCCAAACAAGAAGUCACCGGUCCUGGGUAUGUUAGGAUUGCAGGAGUCAGUAGCCGUUGCGUGUUGGUACGUAUGGUGGCAAAGGAGGGAAGCAGUGAAGGGCGAAACUGUAGCAGAUCCCCCCCGGACGGCCUUUGUGAUUCAGGCUGUAACAUCAAAUUUUGGAGCUGUUUCCCAUUCCAGUAAACCACAUGAAAUAACGUGGGAAAAGCCAAGGCGAGGAUGUUAUAAAUUAAAUACAGAUGCUGCUUUUCGCCAAGAUGGUUCGCGUGCAGUUGGGGUCGUCAUACGUAAUAGUGCAGGUGAGGCUGUAGCAGGAGCUGCAAGUCCUUUUCAUACGGCCUUUGAUAUUGACUCGGCGGAGGCCCUUGCACUGCUAAAAGGACUAGAAUUAGUUGAGAAGUUGGGCUGCACCCAUAUCACAUGUGAGUCCGAUUCAUUGGAGCUCAUUCAGGCAUGCAAUGGGGAGCUGGAGAUCUAUGGUCUUUAUUCUGCGACUUUAGCUGACUGCUUUGCGAGAGCCAAGAUGAUUGAUGGAGUUUCUUUCUCCCACUGCCCUAGGGAAGUCAAUCGAGUUGCUCACCUUCUGGCGAAGCACUCUUAUGAUACUUAG
rnacentral:rRNA from 1 species